CUGAAUAAACUUGGUGGGUUGUAGCUGGCUCUCUGGAGCAUGUGCACACUCAUCAUCUUUAUCCAUCCACCUGUGCACAAUCUGUAGUCUUGAGAGAAAUGAAAGCGGAUUGAUCCAUAAAUUAGUCCGUGGCAUCAUUCUCUUGGGUCUAUGUGUCUUCAUAUACUACAUAGCAUGUCGCAGAAUGUAAUUAAUGGGCCUCUGUGCCUAUAAAAACUUUAUA
rnacentral:misc_RNA from 1 species